GUGCCAGCAGCCGCGGUAAGACGGAGGGGGCUAGCGUUGUUCGGAAUUACUGGGCGUAAAGCGCACGUAGGCGGCUUUUCAAGUUAGGCGUGAAAGCCCCGGGCUCAACCCGGGAAUUGCGCUUGAUACUGUUGAGCUUGAGACCGGGAGAGGAUAGCGGAAUUCCCAGUGUAGAGGUGAAAUUCGUAGAUAUUGGGAAGAACACCAGUGGCGAAGGCGGCUAUCUGGACCGGUACUGACGCUGAGGUGCGAAAGCGUGGGGAGCAAACAGGAUUAGAUACCCCGGUAGUCC
rnacentral:rRNA from 1 species